CACUGGGACUGAGACACGGCCCAGACUCCUACGGGAGGCAGCAGUGGGGAAUAUUGCACAAUGGGCGAAAGCCUGAUGCAGCGACGCCGCGUGAGGGAUGACGGCCUUCGGGUUGUAAACCUCUUUCAGCAGGGAAGAAGCGAGAGUGACGGUACCUGCAGAAGAAGCGCCGGCUAACUACGUGCCAGCAGCCGCGGUAAUACGUAGGGCGCAAGCGUUGUCCGGAAUUAUUGGGCGUAAAGAGCUCGUAGGCGGCUUGUCACGUCGGUUGUGAAAGCCCGGGGCUUAACCCCGGGUCUGCAGUCGAUACGGGCAGGCUAGAGUUCGGUAGGGGAGAUCGGAAUUCCUGGUGUAGCGGUGAAAUGCGCAGAUAUCAGGAGGAACACCGGUGGCGAAGGCGGAUCUCUGGGCCGAUACUGACGCUGAGGAGCGAAAGCGUGGGGAGCGAACAGGAUUAGAUACCCUGGUAGUCCACGCCGUAAACGGUGGGCACUAGGUGUGGGCAACAUUCCACGUUGUCCGUGCCGCAGCUAACGCAUUAAGUGCCCCGCCUGGGGAGUACGGCCGCAAGGCUAAAACUCAAAGGAAUUGACGGGGGCUCGCACAGCGGCGGAGCAUGUGGCUUAAUUCGAC
rnacentral:rRNA from 1 species